UACGUAGGGCGCGAGCGUUGUCCGGAAUUAUUGGGCGUAAAGAGCUCGUAGGCGGCCUGUCGCGUCCGCUGUGAAAUCCCGGAGCUCAACCUCGGGCCUGCAGUGGGGUACGGGCAGACUAGAGUGCGGGUAGGGGGAGAUUGGAAUUCCUGGUGGUAGCGGUGGAAUGCGCAGAUAUCAGGAGGAACACCAAUGGCGAAGGCAGAUCUCUGGGCCGUAACUGACGCUGAGGAGCGAAAGCAUGGGGAGCGAACAGG
rnacentral:rRNA from 1 species